GAAAUGCGAUAAGUAAUGUGAAUUGCAGAAUUCAGUGAAUCAUCGAAUCUUUGAACGCACAUUGCGCCCGCCAGUAUUCUGGCUGGCAUGCCUGUUCGAGCGUCAUUUCAACCAUCAAGCCCCCGGCUUGUGUUGGGGACCUGCGGCUGCCCGCAGGCCCUGAAAAACAGUGGCGGGCUCGCUGUCACACCGAGCGUAGUAGCAUACAUUCUCGCUCAGGGCGUGCUGCGGGUUCCGGCCGUUAAACGACCUUCAUAACCCAAGGUUGACCUCGGAUCAGGUAGGAAGACCCGCUGAACUUAAGC
rnacentral:misc_RNA from 1 species